rnacentral:lncRNA from 1 species
GACGCAGAUACUUAUCCCAUAAAAUAAAAAUGCCCUCCCCCACUGAGAAUUCCCUCUUCCCCUUCAGCGCACCGUGCUAGGCAAAGGCCCUAUCCUUUGAUGCCGGAUUCUGGCUGGCAGGGACCACCCCGUGGGUACAGACUGAUGCUGGUUUGGUGCAGAGGUGUCAGCGUCAGGUCGCACCACGCGAGUCCUUUGCAGGCGGGGCCGGGAGAGCCGCACGCUGAUUGGAGCCCGAUCCUGGGCUUUUGUCUGGGGCAGCCGUUGCAUAGCAACCGGGUUUUUAUUUAGCUAGUUCCCUUAGCUCGGCUUCGGGGUCGCUCUGAUGGAGAUUGGGGGCGGGGGUGAGGAAACUGAGGACCCACUCCUUCCCACGCCGCAGCUCGGAUUCACGGUGACUCCGCCCUUCUGAGCAAAGAGGUGCAGGGGUCCCACUGCCACCGGGGAGGUACCCCACCAUCGCGCUCGGCCGCGCGCCCUGCAGCCCAGGCGCUCGCACACGCGCGCUCUCCACGCGCGCCGUCCGCCUCCGGAGGCCGCCCACUCGGACGCGCGUGGGGAGCACGCGGGCAUCGGCGGCUGCGCGGCGGCCGCUCCUCGGCGGCGUAGCGGAUAAGCUCCCGGGAGGAUGCCUCGGUACGGGGCGCGUCGCCCCCCUCAGGCCACCAGAGCCCGGAUACCUCAGAAAUUCGGCUCUGGGUCUGUGGGGAGCGAAAUGCAACCCAAACCCCGUUUCCCCGAAGCACCGCGCAGAUAAACACGCACAAGCACGCACACAGACGUCGUCGGCCCGCACUCGCAGCCGCAGGUCCCGGCCUGAGGGAAGAGGCCGGGGCCCAAGAUGGCUCGCCGCCUUCGCCUCGCAGCCCCGGGCGCGGCCGCUCGCCCUCGCCGCUCGCUCGCAGGUGCGACGGAAGUGCCCGGCGUCACCGGCCCGGAGCGACGGCGCAACGGCCGGUCUGGGCCUGCAGCCUCGGUGGCCCGGGCCGGACGGGAGCGGCCGCCGGACACAGCCGUCUACAGUUACUUGACUUGGAGGCAGAACACCAUGACCAGGAAAGCAUGGAACAAAGCAGGUGACACCAGCAGACAGAAAACGGGCAGAGGCUGCAGUGUAGACCAUGGACUGAAGCUAUUGAAGACCCAAAAGAAAGAAAAUGUUGAGAGGUGGAAUGAGCUUGGUGGUUGAAGAGAUGGCUGAAGAUUCACACUUGAGCUGUUUCCCAAAACUAAGUGCUGCAGGAGAGCAGAAGCAGCUACCUAGCCUGCCAGAGACAUGCUGUUUCUAGGCUAGGGUGACUGCUGACACAAGGAAGCAAAAAAAUUAAAAAUACUGGAGCGUGUGAUAAUGAUGAGUUCAGAUAACGCAUGGGUUGAGUUUUCGGUCCCUGGGACAUGCUGGAGAUGUACUGUUGGUACGUAGACAUGACAGAACAUGAUGAAUGUUCUCAGAAUGGAAGAACAUGACAAAGAAAAGUUGGAGGUGUGAAAAGAAGGAAAGACUUAACUCUAAGGAGAGACUCAGGCUUUGGACUACUGCUCUUUUGGAAGAUUUAAAAUAAACUUUGAAUGUUAAUAGGUGACUAAGUUAUUUUUAGGUGAUUUCAUUUACUUUAUGGAAUUAUUUUGUUCAACAUUCCCUACUUUGCUACAACUUAAAUGGAACAUAACCCUGUUAUUAAACUUAAGGGAGGAAAGGUUUAUUUUGGCUUUGUUCCAUAGGUUGUCAUAUGUGGUCACAUGGCAAGAAUUCCACACCAGGAAAGAAAUGUGCAGAACCAAAGAUAGCCACCUCUUGGCUGCAAAGAAGAAAAGGUAAAGAGGCCAGGGACUUAAUUCCCUCUUGCAAGGACUUGUCCCCAAAGACUCGAUUUACUAGGGCCCAGCUCCUAAUGGUCUUAUCACUUCACAUUAGGCCUUUGAGGUAGUUAAGACAAACUAUAAGUUGCUAAUAAAAAAAGUUUUCAAAAGGUCAAAUAAGUCAACGGAGACAAAGUAUUAAUGGAAAUGUAACGAGUCAAUACUCAAAAAUGUUAUUGCUUUGAAGCAGAGUUAUUCGGCCCUCUAGCAUUCACAGGACAGAAAAAUCAUAGAGCAAGUUUGCCCCUUGAAUCUUAGUCAAGGAAUGUUUACCAAGAGUAUACUGCUAAGUGUGUAAAGAAACUUUUCCCCCUCUCCUCCCGCCUGCCAUUAUCACAGAGGCAACGCGUAUUACUCAAAUACUUCUGUUUUAAUAAAGGAAGCAUAGAUGCUAGGUUGCUUAUGACUCUAAACAGUGAAAGUAAAAUGUUGACUUAAUAGUUACUGAAAUAUAAAUAACACAAAAGAGCUACAGCCAAGAAGCACCAAUAGGUCUCGACAGCACUCCUUGGGUACCAAAAAGCAGGUCAGGUCCAGGGCCUACCUAAGCCCUGGUAAACUGAGUCAUUUGACCUACUAGCCAGUGAAAAUCCUGUUUAAUCCUGUUUUGUUUAGAACAAAAUUAAUCAUUCAUCCCAUUCCAGUUGCUAAGAAAAACUCUCCUCUCGCAUCUUUACCCGGUUUUCCUAGGAGGCCUCAGUUGCUUCAGGCUUGUUUGAUGUUCACAUAGUUCUUUGUUUCUGCUUCAGGAAUACUUUUACUCACACAGCGUAGCUUGUACACGGGAAGAACCAGGCAUGUAUGUGUGUAUGAGCCGUGUCUGCAUCCUGGCACUUUUAUAACUGAG